rnacentral:rRNA from 1 species
CAGCAGCCGCCGCGGUAAUACGUAGGGUGCAAGCGUUGUCCGGAAUUACUGGGCGUAAAGAGUUCGUAGGCGGUUUGUCGCGUCGUUUGUGAAAACCAGCAGCUCAGCUGCUGCUUGCAGGCGAUACGGGCAGACUUGAGUACUGCAGGGGAGACUGGAAUUCCUGGUGUAGCGGUGAAAUGCGCAGAUAUCAGGAGGAACACCGGUGGCGAAGGCGGGUCUCUGGGCAGUAACUGACGCUGAGGAACGAAAGCGUGGGUAGCGAACAGGAUUAGAUACCCUGGUAGUCCACGCCGUAAACGGUGGGCGCUAGGUGUGGGUUCCUUCCACGGAAUCCGUGCCGUAGCUAACGCAUUAAGCGCCCCGCCUGGGGAGUACGGCCGCAAGGCUAAAACUCAAAGGAAUUGACGGGGGCCCGACAAGCGGCGGAGCAUGUGGAUUAAUUCGAUGCAACGCGAAAGAACCUUACCUGGGUUUGACAUAUACCGGAAAGCUGCAGAGAUGUGGCCCCCCUUGUGGUCGGUAUACAGGUGGUGCAUGGCUGUCGUCAGCUCGUGUCGUGAGAUGUUGGGUUAAGUCCCGCAACGAGCGCAACCCCUAUCUUAUGUUGCCAGCACGUUAUGGUGGAGACUCGUAAGAGACUGCCGGGGUCAACUCGGAGGAAGGUGGGGACGACGUCAAGUCAUCAUGCCCCUUAUGUCCAGGGCUUCACACAUGCUACAAUGGCCAGUACAGAGGGCUGCGAGACCGUGAGGUGGAGCGAAUCCCUUAAAGCUGGUCUCAGUUCGGAUCGGGGUCUGCAACUCGACCCCGUGAAGUCGGAGUCGCUAGUAAUCGCAGAUCAGCAACGCUGCGGUGAAUACGUUCCCGGGCCUUGCACACACCGCCCGU